rnacentral:rRNA from 1 species
GACGAACGCCGGCGGCGUGCCUAAUACAUGCAAGUCGAGCGAAUGGAAGGGAGCUUGCUCCCUAAAGUUAGCGGCGGACGGGUGAGUAACACGUGGGCAACCUGCCUGUAAGACUGGGAUAACUUCGGGGAACCGGAGCUACUACCGGAUACGUUCUUUCCUCGCAUGAGGAAAGAUGGAAGGAUGGUUUCGGCUAUCACUUACAGAUGGGCCCGCGGCGCAUUAGCUAGUUGGUGGGGUAAUGGCCUACCAAGGCGACGAUGCGUAGCCGACCUGAGAGGGUGAUCGGCCACACUGGGACUGAGACACGACCCAGACUCCUACGGGAGGCAGCAGUAGGGAAUCUUCCGCAAUGGACGAAAGUCUGACGGAGCAACGCCGCGUGAGCGAAGAAGGCCUUCGGGUCGUAAAGCUCUGUUGUCAGGGAAGAACAAGUGCCAGAGUAACUGCUGGCACCUUGACGGUACCUGACCAGAAAGCCACGGCUAACUACGUGCCAGCCGCCGCAGUAAAAC